rnacentral:ncRNA from 2 species
GAAAAAGAAAGGUGUUGUAAUUUUGUCUUAAACUAGAUCCGGAGAUAAGGGAAGUUCCUUGAUAAUGGACACGGUACCCGCCGCUGUGAUCGCUGACGACUGCAAUAUGCCACUGGAUUAAUUCCGGGAAGGAUUGUAGGAGGAGGAAGCGAGAGUCAGAAGACCUGUUCCGGAUAACAAAGCUUA